AUUGAACGCUGGCGGCAUGCCUUACACAUGCAAGUCGAACGGCAGCACGGGUGCUUGCACCUGGUGGCGAGUGGCGAACGGGUGAGUAAUACAUCGGAACAUGUCCUGUAGUGGGGGAUAGCCCGGCGAGAGCCGGAUUAAUACCGCAUACGAUCUACGGAUGAAAGCGGGGGACCUUCGGGCCUCGCGCUAUAGGGUUGGCCGAUGGCUGAUUAGCUAGUUGGUGGGGUAAAGGCCUACCAAGGCGACGAUCAGUAGCUGGUCUGAGAGGACGACCACCCACACUGGGACUGAGACACGGCCCAGACGCCUACGGGAGGCAGCAGUGGGGAAUUUUGGACAAUGGGCGAAAGCCUGAUCCAGCAAUGCCGCGUGUGUGAAGAAGGCCUUCGGGUUGUAAAGCACUUUUGUCCGGAAAGAAAUCCUUGGCCCUAAUACGGUCGGGGGAUGACGGUACCGGAAGAAUAAGCACCGGCUAACUACGUG
rnacentral:rRNA from 1 species